rnacentral:ncRNA from 1 species
AGUUGUGACCUAUAGCAGUAAUGCUAUAUGGAAAAAUCGGAUGAAUUGCUGGAAAGCUACGUUUCAUUAGAAACUUGCCAAUCAGCAGCCAAGCCUAGUAAGCGUACUAGGAAGGUUCAGAGACUAGAUGGUGCAGCACGAACUUGCUGUGUAAUACAUCAUUAGCGUCCGACACCCUACCGCCUAAAUUCGUUUUAGUCGGGGGUGAUGAUAUAGUCCAGGCCUUUACGAAAGUA